GCGGCGGCGGCAUCUCUCCGGGUGCCAAGCUCCGGUCCCCUCCCUGCCGUGGUGGCUCAGAACGGGCCUCGGGACAGCGGCCUGGCCUGAGUCCAUCUGGGACAGGGACCUGCGCAGGCGAGAGCCCUCCAACCGCUCCAGUGUCAGUCCCCGGUAACGCGAUGGGUAGAUGUGAUCCAGGCCCAUUAACCAGUGCGCAGAGAAACCGAGGACCAUGAGCUGAGCCUUCCGCGGGCACAGGAGUGUGACUUCAUGCUGUGUGCUGCAGCGGGCACCGUGCUGGGAAGGCACACUCGGCUUCUUCAAAGUCUAUAGCAUGAAACUGUCACCCGCUAUUGGCCAGGAUGAGUCUCUCCUGCCUUCAGAGACCUGUUUGUUAUUUCCUAGCUAGAGUCUACAGAAGCCCAGUCCACGUGGAAUGAGUUACAAUGGAAUGGAGUGCAGACAUCCAGACACAACUACAGGACCCAGCAUAGGACCAGGGAUACCAGCCCACAGGUGUGUGGUGACCUGCUCCUACCUUUUGAAUUAAUUCUGAAUUGAUUAAUCAAUGUGGCAGAAGAUAUUUCCCAAGGAGUGGGUGCUCCAGAUGGUGGCCAGUGUGUUCGAGCAUCGGUGAGGAUGAAGUGCGGGCCUGGAUCUGGGGUGUGGACAGACUGAGAAGUAGACCGGACAGCUGGGAUCUAGUGGGGUAGAGACGGACGGAACCCCACCCAGCCUUGACAGCCAGUCAUUCGUGUUUUCAUCUGUAAACGGAAUGACUGGAGGGACUCUUGGGGAAGAUUCCAGGAGUUGAUCUGUAAACUGAGCUCAAUAAAAGUUCCUUCCUGGCCUUGCUAA